AGCGAACGCUGGCGGCAGGCUUAACACAUGCAAGUCGAACGCACCGCAAGGUGAGUGGCAGACGGGUGAGUAACACGUGGGGAUCUGCCCAAUGGUACGGAAUAGCUCCGGGAAACUGGAAUUAAUACCGUAUGUGCCCUUCGGGGGAAAGAUUUAUCGCCAUUGGAUGAACCCGCGUCGGAUUAGCUAGUUGGUGAGGUAAAGGCUCACCAAGGCGACGAUCCGUAGCUGGUCUGAGAGGAUGAUCAGCCACACUGGGACUGAGACACGGCCCAGACUCCUACGGGAGGCAGCAGUGGGGAAUAUUGGACAAUGGGCGCAAGCCUGAUCCAGCCAUGCCGCGUGAGUGAUGAAGGCCUUAGGGUUGUAAAGCUCUUUCGCCGACGAAGAUAAUGACGGUAGUCGGAGAAGAAGCCCCGGCUAACUUCGUGCCAGCAGCCGCAGUAA
rnacentral:rRNA from 1 species